rnacentral:telomerase_RNA from 1 species
AGAAUUGAAUUAGUGAGUUUACGAGGGAACACAAGGGUACCUAGAAGGUAUAAUUUGUGUUCGUGGUCAAUAAUUAACCCUAACCCUAACUUGGAGAGAAAUCCUUCUCGUUACUUGGUUUGGUUUGUUCGCCCUUCUUCCAAUCAAAAACAGAAAGGGUAUUCUCGUAAACUCCUUUUUUUGCGGAGUCUUCCUGAAGGUAAAAUUUUGCUUAUUCUACCCCACUAAAAUGUAUUCUUU